rnacentral:rRNA from 1 species
AGUCAAGUAAUUAAGUGCAUGUGGUGGAUGCCUUGGCAGUCAGAGGCGAUGAAAGACGUGAUAGCCUGCGAAAAGCUCCGGGGAGGCGGCAAAUAUCCUUUGAUCCGGAGAUGUCUGAAUGGGGGAACCCACCUACUUUAAGGUAGGUAUUGCAACAUGAAUACAUAGUGUUGCAAGGCGAACGAGGGGAAGUGAAACAUCUCAGUACCCUUAGGAAAAGAAAUCAAUUGAGAUUCCCUCAGUA